rnacentral:rRNA from 1 species
AGUGAACGCUGGCGGUAGGCCUAACACAUGCAAGUCGAACGGCAGCACAGUAAGAGCUUGCUCUUACGGGUGGCGAGUGGCGGACGGGUGAGGAAUACAUCGGAAUCUACUUUUUCGUGGGGGAUAACGUAGGGAAACUUACGCUAAUACCGCAUACGACCUACGGGUGAAAGCAGGGGAACUUCGGACCUUGCGCGAUUGAAUGAGCCGAUGUCGGAUUAGCUAGUUGGCGGGGUAAAGGCCCACCAAGGCGACGAUCCGUAGCUGGUCUGAGAGGGUGAUCAGCCACACUGGAACUGAGACACGGUCCAGACUCCUACGGGAGGCAGCAGUGGGGAAUAUUGGACAAUGGGCGCAAGCCUGAUCCAGCCAUACCGCGUGGGUGAAGAAGGCCUUCGGGUUGUAAAGCCCUUUUGUUGGGAAAGAAAAGCAGCAGGUUAAUACCCCGCUGUUCUGACGGUACCCAAAGAAUAAGCACCGGCUAACUUCGUG